CUGAGGGUAUGGCUGUAAGGCUGGGCUCGAGUGACGACACCCAGGCGAACUAGCUACGAGCUAACCUGAAGCUAACCCAAAAAAAAUAAUAAUAAUAAAAAAAAAAAAAACCUGAAGCUAACCCUGGCUAACCCAAAGCUAAAGCGGAGGUGGGAGCCGAGCUAACGGAUGUAGCCACCUAGCUUCAACCCAACCGGAGCUAACUGGAACACCCAUCGACCUGAACCUCACACGGAGUUUAGGUGGAGGUUUUCUGCGCCUGUUCGUGAGAAGUACCUGUAUUAAAAAAGAUUUAAAUCGAUCUGUUUAAAUGUCACCAUGGCAGCCUGUGUGUCUCCAACAUCAGCUACACAAAGCAGCAAGUCCAUUUGGAUCAUUGGAGACAGCUAUGUGAGGCGUGGUGCCCAGAGAGCUGCAGAGACAACCUUGGCCUCCCUGACGUCUGUGUCUCCUGGUUCGGUUGGGGCGGACCAUCGACAUACAUACAUGUGCCGACACUUUGCGCCCUGUUUUAUAAAAUGUAGUGUUAAAAAUAAAUGUUUUUGCUCAAUUACUGGAAUUUCUUUGGUUAAGACAAAAGUGAGGAAUAAUCAUUUACAAGUUAUUUGUACAACAGGCCCAUUUUAAAUCCCAACAGUUUCUUAGCAGACAAUAGAAAUGUGUUCUUUACUAACUUUACUUGGUUUAAAAAUCUUACUAAAAUAGUGCCGUAUUGCAAAACCCAAUCAUACUUGUUAUGUAAACAUUAGCUUUGUAGAUAUUUUUUACAGAUAUGUGUGCAACAAAUCC